CCUACGGGGUGCUGCAGUGGGGAAUAUUGGACAAUGGGCGAAAGCCUGAUCCAGCCAUGCCGCGUGUGUGAAGAAGGCCUUCGGGUUGUAAAGCACUUUCAGUGGGGAAGAAAGCCUUGGGGCUAAUACCCUCGAGGAAGGACAUCACCCACAGAAGAAGCACCGGCUAACUCCGUGCCAGCAGCCGCGGUAAUACGGAGGGUGCGAGCGUUAAUCGGAAUUACUGGGCGUAAAGCGCGCGUAGGCGGUCUGAUAAGUCGGUUGUGAAAGCCCCGGGCUCAACCUGGGAACGGCAUCCGGAACUGUCAGGCUAGAGUGCAGGAGAGGAAGGUAGAAUUCCCGGUGUAGCGGUGAAAUGCGUAGAGAUCGGGAGGAAUACCAGUGGCGAAGGCGGCCUUCUGGACUGACACUGACGCUGAGGUGCGAAAGCGUGGGUAGCAAACAGGAUUAGAUACCCUAGUAGUC
rnacentral:rRNA from 1 species